rfam:Thioalkalivibrio sp. K90mix, complete genome.
GGGGGCGACUUGGAUUCGACGCGGGUCGCGAAACCUUAGGUGCAUGCCGAGGAUGUGGUGAGCCUCGUAAAAAUCACUGCAAAAAAAUAGUUGCCAACGACGACAACUACGCACUCGCCGCUUAAAAACCGGUAGAUGCCGUCCGACUGGAGCCGUGCUUGUGCGUCCAGUAUCGGGCGUCGACUCUCACAAGCUCGUGGUGAAGCGCGCCCGGCGUGGAUCCAUUAAAACUCAACCGGGAUCGCCAGCCGUUGUCCCUGCCUGUCGGGUAGCGUCUGGUUAAACUCAAAGACGGGAUAAGCAUGUAGAGCCGAAGGCGGAGGGCCUGCGGACGCGGGUUCGAUUCCCGCCGCCUCCACCA